GUGAAUCAUCAAAUUUUUGAACGCAAAUUGCGCUUCCUGGCAUCCCGGGAAGUAUGCCUGUUUGAGGAUCAGUAUUAACAAAAAAUCGGUUUGGUUGCUAAUUGUGACGUUUCCGGGGCUUUGUCUAUCUUAACUUUUUUGGUUAAGGGGCAUAAAAUUGACCUUUUUUGCGCAUUUUUAUAUUUACAUAAAUUUUUUUUUUAUUGUGGUAUUUUUAAUGCCAAAAUC
rnacentral:misc_RNA from 1 species